rnacentral:rRNA from 1 species
UACAGAGGGGGCAAGCGUUGUUCGGAAUUACUGGGCGUAAAGCGUGCGUAGGUGGUUCGUUAAGUCUGAUGUGAAAGCCCUGGGCUCAACCUGGGAAUGGCAUUGGAAACUGGCGACCUAGAGUGCGGUAGAGGGUAGUGGAAUUCCCGGUGUAGCAGUGAAAUGCGUAGAGAUCGGGAGGAACAUCUGUGGCGAAGGCGACUGCCUGGACCAGCACUGACACUGAGGCACGAAAGCGUGGGGAGCAAACAGG